rnacentral:lncRNA from 1 species
GUAUAUCUGUGCAUAUAUUAUCGUAGAUCUUUUGAUGUUUAUGCAUUUUUUUUUGGGUCUUUCUGGAUCAACCCCAUGAACAGAAGAUCACAUUUUAAUUUGAAGUUUUUGAGUAAUUUCCCACCGUUAUAGUUACAAAUAGCCUUUUCAUUAUUGAUGGAUAUUUAUUGUACCUUUUCCUUGUUAUCCUUCUUUGCAAAUGUACNUUUUGUUGUCUACUUGAUGUUUAUGGGAUUUAUUUGGAGGCAUGAAAUUAAUAAGCAUGGCAAGCUGACCAUACUGAUAGAAUAGAUAGGCAAAGCCAUCAAUAGGUAGUUCGCCUAUUGAUAGCUUAAAUUAGAAGUGAUUAACAAUUGAGAAUCUAACAAACUUCACUAGUCUUGAACCAAGCUAUCCAGUUUAGUCAAUAUCCUAUGUAAGCAGAUAACAAAUUUUGGUUUUACUAGACAGAGAUCGUUGAUUGUAAAAGUUGUGAUUAUUUAUGGUGCUGAUUAUUUUGUACAUUUUGUUUUAAUUCAUUAUAAUUAAUUCUUUUCAAGUGGAACAAACAUUUUUCCUCUUGUUCUACCCAUUGUCAUUUCAUUUAAACAAUAUUUAAACAAGAUUGGUGGCUGUGGUAUGGACGUCAGAAGCAAACAAGGGUAAUCAACCCUUCUUGUCUUGAAUUUUCUUUUUACAAAUGUAAUAAUUAAUGUUCCAUAAUGAGUUUAUAAAUUCUUACACGAUAUCUUUGGUUUUGGUAGGCACUUUCUGGACCCAUUAAUGCCCCUGCAAAGCUUCCGAACUGGAACUAUGGUGGGUCAAGCUCUUAGAGAAGACUUUUAAGUCAUCUUAUAGUAAGCCGUCUUCCAUUUAAGAUAUUUUAUAAUGAAAUAUAUGCAUGCGCAUUAAUGCAUUGCAUGACGAUGAGACAAUCCUCAAACAAUUUACAAUGAUCCAUUCAGGAGGGUAAAUAACAUAUUGGUGAGUUAUUUUUCCCCUUAUUACUAAUAAAUAUUUUGUGUUUAAUUAUGUUGUUAUGUGGAUUAUAUGAUAUCGCCUUUUCUUUUUGCCUCAUAGAUCAUCUGUGAUGCUUACACCCUAGCUAGUGAGCCAAUUCCAACUAACAGAAGGAACAGUCUAACCAAAAUAUUUAGCAAUCCUAAUGUUGUUGCCGAAAAACCUUGGUUUCAUCAUUAUGUGCCAUUUGCGACUCCUCAUUUAGUUUACAUUUUACAAUCCCGAAUUUUUUAGAGCUAUAUCUAUAAUAGGUAUGGUGUUGAGCAAGAAUACACCUUGUUGCAAAAGGAUGUUGGACCUCAAGUAAUUGUUCUGCUUUCGAUGAUUGCUCAUUAUUCUCUGUUCAUUAAGAUUGUGAUUACUGAAUGGUUUAUUUCUUCUUCACCUCAUAGAUAGUCAUCGCCGUCCGAUCAUCAAUCAGUUCUCUUUCUUUUGGAACCCCAAGGCGGCAGCUCAGAUCGAUGGGAGACUAAAAUGAUGCCUUACUACAUAAUCCAAACUCCGCUGUCCAUGCCCAUACAAGGCUCUUUUUAUGAUCCUAGCAUCCUACCUUUUUAUGUUUGUCUAUUCGUCAUCUUAAUCUUUUCAGUUGUUAACAGUGGCGGAUCCAGGGGGCGGCCGCCCUAACUGGAUCCACCGGGAUUUUUUUUGUUAGUAAUAGAUUAAAUUUCGACUUUAUAUUGUUG